rnacentral:rRNA from 1 species
CACGUAGGGGACGAGCGUUGUCCGGAUUCAUUGGGCGUAAAGCGCACGUAGGCGGCCUGAUAAGUCGGAUGUGAAAUCCCUCGGCUCAACUGAGGACGUGCAUUCGAAACUGCCAGGCUCGAGUAUGGAAGAGGGUCGCGGAAUUCCCGGUGUAGUGGUGGAAUGCGUAGAUAUCGGGAGGAACACCAGUGGCGCAGGCGGCGUCCUGGACCGGCACUGACGCUGAGGAGCGAAAGCGUGGGGAGCGAUCCGG